rnacentral:lncRNA from 1 species
CGGUAAUUCCCAUCGAGCUUAGAAUUAUAAGGAGACGCCGUUUUGAUAUUGACGUAUCUAUAGUUAUAUAAAUAUGAAACAAACUAUGCAACAUAGUUCUGUCUCACUCUUUCUAAGCAGAUAAGUGUAUUUGAAAACAGGGACAACAAUAUUUUUGUGAUUGCGUAAAAUGGUGACAUUUACUUUUGAAAUCCUUCUGCGUGCCAUAUCUGGCCAUAUAUGUCAUGGUAGUUGUGCUGUCAAAUAGGUGCUCUUCGUGACUUAUUUUUGCUAUUUUAUAGAAUAUCACUCGUGUUUACUUUUAAGACUUUACUAUUUCAAUAGUGAAAUAAUCAACGAAUAUGCCUAUGUGUUGUAUUGUGAAGUGUGGUGCUAGGAAGCACCAAAAUCAAGCUGGAUUGUCUUUACACAGUGCUUCCGCACAGACGAGCAAAUCGGAAUGCAAGUUGCAAUAUUUGCUUGAGAACUUAGUUACCGAGUAUAGAUUUCGAAUUGUAUAAAUAUUUUUUUCUUAGCACUAAAAUUGUUUUGUACAAUCGAUUAAUACAUAAUUAGCUCCAUUUGCAUUAUAUAACUUUCUCAUGAAUAGCUUGAAAACGAUUUUAAAUUAUUGUAUUUUUUUUAAGAGAGUAUCUCCUUAUGGCGUUUCUUGCGGAUUCUUCUUCAUAGGACCGAAUCUUUGGCACCCUGCAACUAGUCUGACGUGAAAGAACUUUCAUAGGGCUAUUUGAAAUAAUAAAUAAUUACUUU